GCGGGCGCUAACGUGACAGCGCUUCCGGUUCGGGUGCCGGCGGUGCCGCCGCUCCCUCGGCGGGCGGAGUGUGGGGCUCGGGCACCCGGCGGCAUCGGGGCGGGCGCUGGGGCCGCGCGGCGCUGCCGCUGCUGCUCCGGGCUGCUGCCGGGGCUCCCGUGCCGCCGGCCGUGCGCGGGAGGGCGGUGCGGGGAUUUCCCCGCGCUGAGGGGAACCGGCCCCGGCGCCUCCCGAACCCGCCGCUCCGGCGCUGCCAGGGAGUUUGUGAUCAAUUAAAAAGAUGCCUUGUAUUCUCGGAGUGGUGCAUUCUACCUCUGCUGUUUUUCCUGCUAGUCUGGAUCCUCUGCUUAGAUUUUUUUUUUCUUCCUAUUUUAGAUGCCCUGGCUGUGGUGGAUGUCCCGGUUGAGGGCAGUGAUGGCUUUCAUGAAGAAAUCUUUAAAUGAAGACGGGAUUACCCAAACCUUUCCCUUCCCUGCUGCACUAGAAGCCAGGAAUAUCCUGUUGCUUCAGUCUGAAAACGGAACAGUUUAAAAAUCACGAGGAGGUGAGCAAAGAACCUGCUGUGCCCCUGGAUUCUGCAUUUACCACUUUGCUAAAGAGAGCCUAUGAGAGAGGAAGCAAUACCCUACUGGAAGGUGGUGUUCAGACAAAAUUGGCUUCCUGGCUCCCACCUGACCAGCUUUUGUUGGGAGUAAAGCAUGUGCUGUUAUACCUGAAAUCCACAGUGGAGAACUUCAGCAGGCUUGGUAAAACUUUGGGUCCUCAGCUUGUUGAUCUCUGUGUGGACCUGCUGAGCAUCUUGUUGUGCCGGGACAAUGAAAUAAAGCUGGAGCAGCAGCAGAAGCAGGAGGAGCAUCAGGCUGAUGGGAUCUCUUCAUGGAUGAGGAGCCUCUGAUGACAGAAGUGUCUUCAAAUGACAAGACCCUGGAGGAUGCACUCACCUUGAUUUUCAGACAUCCUGCACUGGAGAGCUGGUUCCUGGCGUUGGAGCUGCGCUCUAUUCCUCAG